rnacentral:rRNA from 1 species
UACGAAGGGGGCUAGCGUUGUUCGGAAUUACUGGGCGUAAAGCGUAUGCAGGCGGACUUUUAAGUCGGGGGUGAAAUCCCGAGGCUCAACCUCGGAACUGCCUUCGAUACUGGAAGUCUUGAGUCCGGGAGAGGUGAGUGGAACUCCGAGUGUAGAGGUGAAAUUCGUAGAUAUUCGGAAGAACACCAGUGGCGAAGGCGGCUCACUGGCCCGGUACUGACGCUGAGACGCGAAAGCGUGGGGAGCAAACAGG